rnacentral:rRNA from 1 species
UACGGAAGGCAGCAGUGGGGAAUAUUGGACAAUGGGCGCAAGCCUGAUCCAGCCAUGCCGCGUGUGUGAAGAAGGCCUUUUGGUUGUAAAGCACUUUAAGCGAGGAGGAGGCUCUCUUAGUUAAUACCUAAGAUGAGUGGACGUUACUCGCAGAAUAAGCACCGGCUAACUCUGUGCCAGCAGCCGCGGUAAUACAGAGGGUGCGAGCGUUAAUCGGAUUUUACUGGGCGUAAAGCGUGCGUAGGCGGCUUUUUUAAGUCGGAUGUGAAAUCCCCGAGCUUAACUUGGGAAUUGCAUUCGAUACUGGGAAGCUAGAGUAUGGGAGAGGAUGGUAGAAUUCCAGGUGUAGCGGUGAAAUGCGUAGAGAUCUGGAGGAAUACCGAUGGGCGAAGGGCAGCCAUCUGGGCCUAAUACUGACGCUGAGGUACGAAAGCAUGGGGA